AUAUUUAUGCGUUGGAAUGCCCAA
rnacentral:siRNA from 1 species